UUAAAUUGAAGAGUUUGAUCAUGGCUCAGAUUGAACGCUGGCGGCAGGCCUAACACAUGCAAGUCGAACGGUAACAGGAAGCAGCUUGCUGCUUYGCUGACGAGUGGCGGACGGGUGAGUAAUGUCUGGGAAACUGCCUGAUGGAGGGGGAUAACUACUGGAAACGGUGGCUA
rnacentral:rRNA from 1 species